GGCACCAUCUGCUUGCUGUGACAGUAAUGAAGUGAGGGAGAUUGCAGGACAAUGGCUCAGUCUCUGUGAGUGAAGCGGUGGGCGGCUCAGCCCUAUUUCUCCUGCUCUGCUCGGGAUGGGAUGGCUUUACUCUCUAUGUGCUGGAAUCUCUUAAACACAUCCAGCUACAGGGUGAAAAUCGUGAUGCUGCUCAUUUAGGAAAAUGACCACACAAGCCACACGAACUCAUUCAGGGAGUGAAGCACGAUGUGAACUGACUGUCAAAAUCCAGCAAACCGAAUGCUCAGGAUAUCAUUUCUGACAAGAGAGGUGCUGAGUGACACCUGGGGUGUUACUGUAACAACCUGGCCUGAAGCAAAAC